CGUUCGCUCACGUAUCGUGGUUUUUGAGCCUCUGGUUCAGAAUUAAAAGGGAAUAAGGUGAGAUUUAAUUCGAUUCCUUAACUGCCCCCGCAACUGUAAGCAUUUAGAUAAUUACUACAAUCAGCUUUAAUUACUUCACCUUGGCAUAAAUCUUUAAUUUUAUGAUUUAACCCCACGAUGAUUAUCCUGAUUCGAUUAUAAAUUAGAAUUUUUUCGCAACCAUUUUAAAACGGUUCGCUGUGAUUUAUAACACCACUGGAAUUGAUUUCUGGGAAGGUGGGUAAUUAUUGUUGAGAUGUAAGUCAGGAGACCUGCCUUUUACGCAUUAACCAC
rnacentral:ncRNA from 1 species